ensembl:lncRNA
CAAUGUGGCUGGUUUGGAUGUGCCUUAAAAAGCUGGAGACAGGAAACACUGCUGCCAGACUGAAGGGGCAUCACUGGGGUGGUGCUGACAAGCAUACUGGCCAACAGGAAGAGUACUAUUUUACCACAUUUGAAAUGUUAAAAAGCUGGAGGAGCUCCAUCACAUUGAUUUCAUUGACUUAAUAGUAGGUUAUGACCCUCAGUGAGGAAAACUCUGCUCUAGGAGGUCUUCAAAGACAGUGGGACUGAGCACCAGAACUCAGUACUUCUUACUGUCUGACUCUUCCCACAGCAACAGUGACUUAAAGGAUAACCUCAAAAGUGACCCCUUCACUGAAUACAUGUGUAG